rnacentral:rRNA from 1 species
GUCGAGAAUCUUUCACAAUGGGGGCAACCCUGAUGGAGCGACGCCGCGUGGAGGAUAAGGUCUUCGGAUUGUAAACUCCUGUCAUGCGUGAACAAGGUUGCUUGGUUAAUACCUGGGCAAAUUGAUGGUAACGCAAGAGGAAGAGACGGCUAACUCUGUGCCAGCAGCCGCGGUAAUACAGAGGUCUCAAGCGUUGUUCGGAAUCACUGGGCGUAAAGGGUGCGUAGGUGGCGUGGUAAGUCAGAUGUGAAAGCCCGGGGCUCAACCUCGGGACUGCAUCCGAUACUGCCAUGCUAGAGUACUGGAGAGGUGACUAGAAUUCUCGGUGUAGCAGUGAAAUGCGUAGAUAUCGAGAGGAAUACCAAAGGCGUAGGCAGGUCACUGGACAGUUACUGACACUGAGGCACGAAGGCCAGGGGAGCGAACGGGAUUAGAAACCCCGGUAGUCC